GUACGUACAAGCAGUGGGAGCACAGAGCAAUCUGUGUGACUGCGUACCUUUUGUAUAAUGGGUCAGCGACUUAUAUUCUGUAGCAAGGUUAACCGAAUAGGGGAGCCGAAGGGAAACCGAGUCUUAACUGGGCGUUAAGUUGCAGGGUAUAGACCCGAAACCCGGUGAUCUAGCCAUGGGCAGGUUGAAGGUUGGGUAACACUAACUGGAGGACCGAACCGACUAAUGUUGAAAAAUUAGCGGAUGACUUGUGGCUGGGGGUGAAAGGCCAAUCAAACCGGGAGAUAGCUGGUUCUCCCCGAAAGCUAUUUAGGUAGCGCCUCGUGAAUUCAUCUCCGGGGGUAGAGCACUGUUUCGGCAAGGGGGUCAUCCCGACUUACCAACCCGAUGCAAACUGCGAAUACCGGAGAAUGUUAUCACGGGAGACACACGGCGGGUGCUAACGUCCGUCGUGAAGAGGGAAACAACCCAGACCGCCAGCUAAGGUCCCAAAGUCAUGGUUAAGUGGGAAACGAUGUGGGAAGGCCCAGACAGCCAGGAUGUUGGCUUAGAAGCAGCCAUCAUUUAAAGAAAGCGUAAUAGCUCACUGGUCGAGUCGGCCUGCGCGGAAGAUGUAACGGGGCUAAACCAUGCACCGAAGCUGCGGCAGCGACGCUGAUGCGUUGUUGGGUAGGGGAGCGU
rnacentral:rRNA from 1 species